UGAGAGAGGGAAUAUCCAUCUUUAUUUGGCUUCAGCUCAAGGCAACCGGACUUCGAGAAGCCACAGAGAUAUGAGCAGCACCCCAUGGCUGGGCUAGCAGAGAGGGAGCUCAUCACUGUCAGGGCGCAAGAUACAAUAUUACAAUGGUGGCGUAAUCACCGCACAAUCCCAGCACUCAUAGCCAUGUGCUCACGGCUGGCUCCUCAGCGAAGGAAACCAAAGGAAAGAGCGUUUAUGACUUGUCCAAGCCACGCGUGGAAGCCAGGAGAGAGGCACGUUCCCAGGUCUGGACUCUCCCACCAUGUCCCUGUCUUCCCCAUUGGUAGCCACUUCUCUAGUAAAUCGAAGUUGAGGGCCGGGGAUUUAGCUCAGUGGUUCUGCUGCCUGCCUGGAAGGCACAA
rnacentral:lncRNA from 1 species